GCUUCUCUGGGGUUCUGGGAUGUGCAAGCUGAGGCUUCUCUGGGGUUCUGGGAUGUGCAAGCUGAGGCUUCUCUGGGGUUCCGGGGUGUGCAAGCUGAGGCUUCUCUGGAGAGUGGGAGUCUGCGAGCUGAAGCUUCUCUGGGGUUCCGGGAUGUGCAAGCCGAAGCUUCUCUGGGGUUCGGAUAACCGGGUAGCCAACCUAUCUCGAGACCCUGCAGUUCUCUUGUGCACUGCUUUGGGUCUCGUUUUUGGAGUUUUACAGACCCUCCUUGAUGUCUAACUGCAACAUGGUGACUCCUUUACCCGCCUCCGGAGAACGAACUUGUACACGCUCUGCUGGGAGUGGACAGAGCAGGGAUGAAAUGUGAUCCCCAGCUUCCUGCUCCUGCCACCAUGGCCAACUCCUCCCCUCCAUGAUGGACUCCAGCUCACUGGAACUGUUAGCCAAUCUUUUCUUCAGGGACUUCCUUUUUAACCCAGUAUUGAAUCACAGACACAGGAAAGUAGCUGGUGCCCCGCCAGAGUAACACCUUCCGAGCUUUGUGAGUCAGAAGGCAAAGGCCAGACCAUGAUACACCCGGAGUCCCGUGCCACCGUGUGAGGGGUUUUAGUUCGAGGCAGGACAAGCAAUCAGGGAAACAUCACAUUGUGUGCAGUUGUGUGAAGCCUCGAAGGCUGGGUAGAGUCCACAGCGAAAUGAUUUGCUGGAAGAUUGGACGCAGAUGUUGGCAGAUUCAGAGAUACCAGGGACGUCUGCCGGUGGCAACGUAGACAUUAGGCCGGGAGCAGGAGUGACAAGGCUGAGAAGGGCCGUUGACACCUCACUUUGAGAUUCCUCUGAAAGGGGAGGGCUUGGGGUGUUUCAUGAAAUCACCCCAUUUUCCUUUGGGGAAUACCACUCUAGUGGCAGUGUUUGGGAGAGAUCAGGAGAAGAGAGAGGCGGGGAAGUAAUUGGGGAGGUAAUUGCUGCCCUGGGUAAGAGGUUUAGAAGGCUUGAGCCAAGCAACAGCAGCAGGAUUAAGAAGAGACGAUAUGUUUGAAAUAUUUAUGGGGGAGGGAAGGCAAUAAAAAUGACUUAUUGGAUGUAAGAAAAACAGGGAUCAACAAGGUAUUGCUUUUCUGAACAUUCUGGCCUGGGAGGCACAAGCCCCCACAUUCUAAAAGGGCUGGUAUCUGAAAAUUUAUGAACAGUUAAAACUUGUCUGUAGAAAUAGCUUUUAAGAACAGAGACAAAAGUAUCCCUUUUUGUUUCAGUUUUUGUUAUUAUUUUUAAAAGUAUUUUCUUUUUA